rnacentral:rRNA from 1 species
AAGCCGGGCGACUCUGGCGGGACGUGCCAUCGACAAGAUGGAGGAAGGUGGGGGAGUGACGUCAAGUCAUCAUGGCCCUUACUGUCCAGGGCGACACACGUGCUACAAUGGCCGGCACAGCGGGAAGCGAGGCAGUGAUGCCAAGCGGAUCCCUUAAAGCCGGUCUCAGUUCGGAUUGAAGUCUGCAACUCGACUUCAUGAAGCUGGAAUCGCUAGUAAUCGCAGAUCAGCCAAGCUGCGGUGAAUACGUUCCCGGGCCUU